CUGCCGCCAUGGCAGCGGCGAGGGUGGGUAUACGGCUCGGCGCUGGGGACAAACCUCCUGAACGCGAAACCGACGGCGGUGACCCAGUAGGUGGAGCCAGAAGCGGAAGUGGUGACGUAGGCUUGGAACUGCCAGUCUGACGAGUGAGAUGUAUUUUCAGUAUAAAGAGAAAUGUGAACGCCUCCAGGAUCGGCUCCACGACACAACCUUGUUUCUUCUUUGCCCUUCCAUCCGUUCAUCCAUCCGACGCACAGCGCUGUCCUAGCGUGAGGCCAUAAAUCGAUCUAAACAAGACCUGUCCCCAGAGGCUUCAGUGAAGAAUAUGACAAAACUGAAGCUUGGAGAAGUGCAGGAAAUUGCUCAACUUCACACUUGCUAAAACAUCAUUCUUGGGGGCAGCGGAUAGCCAGAUGUGCAAGAAGUAAUCCACUUUUUUUUCUGAAGUAAAAUAUUGGAGCUCUUUUUUGUGUCA